rnacentral:misc_RNA from 1 species
GAGAGAGAGAGAGAGAAUUAGAGAUUACUGGACGUAGAUGAUACUUACCAUUCCGCAAAUUUAUGAAGUUCUGAAAAGAAAUAGCAUGAAAAUUGGGGGCAUACCGCUUGCAGCUCCCAACUUUUGCGACAAGCACAAUUUCGUCUUAUGAAAUCAUGUUUUAUUAAAUUACAUGGACCAAACAGAUGAUGAAUAAGCAGAAGCUCCAUUUUCCCGUAAAUUCAUCACCAAAGUAUCCAUCAACAGGACAUACUUUUACGUUUUAAAUAUACUUCAAAAACCAUUUUCCCAUUUAAGCCAAACACAUCAAAAUCCCAAAAACACAAACUAAUAAAGAUUAAAGAAAAGAAAAGAUUACC